UGCGUAGGCGGCGAUUCAAGUCAGAUGUGAAAUGCCUGAGCUCAACUGAGGCAUUGCGUUUGAAACUGAAUUGCUAGAGUAUUUCAGGGGUGUGCGGAACUGCCAGUGGAGCGGUGAAAUGUGUUGAUAUUGGCAGGAACACCGGAGGCGAAAGCGGCACACUGGGGAAUAACUGACGCUGAGGCACGAAAGCUAGGGGAGCGAACG
rnacentral:rRNA from 1 species